GAAAAGCUUAAACGUUAUUUUGGGCCUUGAAAAUAUUAAGGCAGGUAUCCAAUAAUCCAUUUGAUCUCAUGUUGGAAAUAGGCCUGCAAUUCAUUUUAAAUUGGAAGAAUCAACUAUGAGUUCAAGUACUAUUACCAGUGAUCUUUGGCAUCUUUGCUUCCAAUGGAAAGCAAUUCUUUAGGAGACGCAAGUAUGCAGUACAAGGCUAUGAGCUCAAACAAAGUUUGGCUGAAUUUGAUUGCCACAGCUUCCGUACUAAUUC
rnacentral:misc_RNA from 1 species